GCUGGCGGCAGGCCUAACACAUGCAAGUCGAGCGGAAACGGGAUAGCUUGCUAUCAGACGUCGAGCGGCGGAAGGGUGAGUAAUGCCUAGAUAUCUGCCUAGUCGUGGGGGAUAACAGUUGGAACGACUGCUAAUACCGCAUACGCCCUACGGGGGAAAGGAGGGGACCUUCGGGCCUUUCGCGAUUAGAUGAGUCUAGGUGGGAUUAGCUAGUAGGUGAGGUAAUAGCUCACCUAGGCGACGAUCCCUAGCUGUUCUGAGAGGAUGAUCAGCCACACUGGGACUGAGACACGGCCCAGACUCCUACGGGAGGCAGCAGUGGGGAAUAUUGCACAAUGGGGGAAACCCUGAUGCAGCCAUGCCGCGUGUAUGAAGAAGGCCUUCGGGUUGUAAAGUACUUUCAGUCGUGAGGAAGGGUAUGUAGUUAAUAGCUGCAUGCCUUGACGUUAGCGACAGAAGAAGCACCGGCUAACUCCGUGCCAGCAGCCGCGGUAAUACGGAGGGUGCGAGCGUUAAUCGGAAUUACUGGGCGUAAAGCGCAUGCAGGCGGUCUGUUAAGCAAGAUGUGAAAGCCCGGGGCUCAACCUCGGAACCGCAUUUUGAACUGGCAGACUAGAGUCUUGUAGAGGGGGGUAGAAUUUCAGGUGUAGCGGUGAAAUGCGUAGAGAUCUGAAGGAAUACCGGUGGCGAAGGCGGCCCCCUGGACAAAGACUGACGCUCAGAUGCGAAAGCGUGGGGAGCAAACAGGAUUAGAUACCCUGGUAGUCCAUGCCGUAAACGAUGAAUGCCACGUCGUCAGGGCUUGCAACUUGGUGACACACCUAACGGAUUAAGCUUCGCCUGGGGAGUCACGGUCGCAAGAUAAAACUAAAGAAUUUGAACG
rnacentral:rRNA from 1 species